UUACGGCCAUAUCACUUUGAAACACCAGUCCUCGUCCGAUCAGCAAUGUUAAGCAACGUCGGGCUUGUUCAGUAUCUAGAUGGGUGACCGCUUUGGAAUGGCAGGUGUUGUAAG